ensembl:lncRNA HOXB-AS3 HOXB cluster antisense RNA 3
CCUCGGCACUGAGCUGAGACGCGCUGAGCAGUUUGCUCUCCUUUUUCCACUUCAUGCGUCGGUUCUGGAACCAUAUCUUGAUCUGCCUCUCCGUCAGGCACAGGGCGUGCGCGAUCUCGAUGCGCCGCCGCCGCGUCAGCCGUUUCCUCUCCCUCGCCGGCCUCGGCGGAGAUUCCAGGCCCUAUAGAAACCAGGACGUCCCUUAGCGCCACCGCCUCACAUGCCAGUGCUGCCGGGAACCCAGCGAUAUCCGCACCAGCGGAGAAGGUUCCAGGCUGCCGGCGGCGGCGCAGAGAGCGGGAAGAGAGGCUCGGAGGAAGCCCCGGGCGUGGCGUGGUCAGGCUCCGAGAGCGGCCGGGAUGCGGCCACACCGGCCUGGUAAACUCGCACCUCUUAGGAUCUUGCUCCCGGACUCAUUCCCUUCCCCACCCCCUAUUUUAAAGUUUUAUUUGGGUCGUCUGUAUCAAUUUAGAACGAGAUAAAUUAAGACAAAGAAAGUAAAAUAAAUCGAAAUAAAAUAUA